rnacentral:rRNA from 1 species
CUGGCGGCGUGCCUAAUACUGCAAGUCGAGCGGACAGAUGGGAGCUUGCUCCCUGAAGUCAGCGGCGGACGGGUGAGUAACACGUGGGCAACCUGCCUGUAAGACUGGGAUAACUUCGGGAAACCGGAGCUAAUACCGGAUAACACCGAGGACCUCAUGGUCCUUGGUUGAAAGAUGGCUUCGGCUAUCACUUACAGAUGGGCCCGCGGCGCAUUAGCUAGUUGGUGAGGUAACGGCUCACCAAGGCGACGAUGCGUAGCCGACCUGAGAGGGUGAUCGGCCACACUGGGACUGAGACACGGCCCAGACUCCUACGGGAGGCAGCAGUAGGGAAUCUUCCGCAAUGGACGAAAGUCUGACGGAGCAACGCCGCGUGAGCGAUGAAGGCCUUCGGGUCGUAAAGCUCUGUUGUUAGGGAAGAACAAGUACCGUUCGAAUAGGGCGGUACCUUGACGGUACCUAACCAGAAAGCCACGGCUAACUACGUGCCAGCAGCCGCGGUAAUACGUAGGUGGCAAGCGUUGUCCGGAAUUAUUGGGCGUAAAGCGCGCGCAGGCGGUUCCUUAAGUCUGAUGUGAAAGCCCACGGCUCAACCGUGGAGGGUCAUUGGAAACUGGGGAACUUGAGUGCAGAAGAGGAGAGC